GCUCUUCCUGAAAAAUGUUGUAUCCCUGUCGUACCCGCAGGCUUGCCUGUGCGUCGGCACCUCAGCGUUGGGCACAAACUGGGUCUUGCUUCCAUCCAGCGCUCUCCAUAAACCUAAGUGGAGAUGAGGAACCUACACCAGCAAGUAGUGCUGGGGAAGUCUCUGCUCCCAACAGUUUACACUCCCAAAUUUACACAAUGUAGAAGAGGUGAAUAAACAGCUAUCACUAGCUGCCAGAUUAUUCAGUGGCGUGGGACUCAAAACAAAAAGGCAAGGAGCUGUACCUGUCCUUCCGAGGGGCUCAGAGGAGAUGUUCAUACAAUGAGAGGAUGCAGACGUGGUAAAAUAUAUAACCAGAAAAACACGAAUGUACAUCUUGCCUUUGCUAGAAUUUCUGAAUACAGAGAAAUGGAUUAUGCAGACCAACAGAUCGGCUAAAGCAAAGUGCAGGACUCGGCUCCUCAAGUGUUUUGGGGCAACCACACAGAAACACCGACACAGAAACGUAAAUGUGCUUGUCGUUUACUGUAAGUGCAUUUCCAUCACCAUAAAAAUAUGUGAACCAAUACUGCUUAUUUCAAUUUGAUGUAUAGCGCCUUACAUCACUAUCUAUAAACACAUAUAUUGUAUAUAUACUGGAUAUACAAUAUUAGCGCAGGCAUGUUAGUUAACAGUAUUUUUUUUAAAACCAUGACAGCUGUAUCCUUACAUUUUAAAGGCGAUAUCUGCUCCCAGCCACUUAUGUAAGAAACAAAUAAGCAAGAAGCAUCAAGACCUAGAGGUGACCAGUAAACAUGACUAUAGCAGACUUGUAUAAAAAUUCAGGUUACAGUUCUAAAUGGGAAAGUCUAGAGCAGAACAUGUGAAUGGUUCUUUUCUUUUAAACUUGCUUAACAAGGCCAACAUAGAGUACAUUCAAAUCUGCAUAAAAUCAGCAAAAUAACAUGCUUCUGUGCUGAGGAAUAUAGAAGAGAAAACUGAGAAAAUGCUGAAAGAAGGGUGAUAAAAUUACUGUGACAGUUCUGAUCAGAUGGCCUUCUGAGCUCUUUCCAAACAAUACGUAGUGUGCUAUUUACAAUGUUGUAUCAACUUAUGAGGCAAAAAUCCUGAAAAAAUAAUACUGUUGUGUCUGGACUGAAAUUCACCACAUAUACUGGAAACCUUUAAUCUCGUUCUUUGCUGUCGAUGUAGACUUGGACGUGGUACGCAUUGUGGUAGGGAACCACACUGACUUAAUCAUAUCUGUAUUUAGAUAUUAUCCUUCUGUUACAGAAAAUGACCUAGAUUAACUGAAAUUUGAAGUUAAGAUCCCAGGCUUCACUCUACUCCCAUCACCCAUCUUUUCCAUAACUGUUUACCUUCUAUCUUUAGAUAUUUUAUUUUUUCUGCAUAUAACCACUUAACUUCUCCUUCCCAGAAGGUAUGAUUUCUCUCAUUCAACAAACACCUUGUAAAUUAGCACAGCUCUGCGUAAUAAGCCAUACUCAAGCCUCUUUUUGUUUAUGUCAAUUUUACCACGUGACGGGAAUUUAAAGCCAAGCAAACACAAUUCACGAGGACUGCUGGGGACACUCAACAGAAGUUGC
ensembl:lncRNA